AUUGAACGCUGGCGGCAGGCCUAACACAUGCAAGUCGAGCGGAUGAAGGGAGCUUGCUCCUGGAUUCAGCGGCGGACGGGUGAGUAAUGCCUAGGAAUCUGCCUGGUAGUGGGGGAUAACGUCCGGAAACGGGCGCUAAUACCGCAUACGUCCUGAGGGAGCAAGUGGGGGAUCUUCGGACCUCACGCUAUCAGAUGAGCCUAGGUCGGAUUAGCUAGUUGGUGGGGUAAAGGCCUACCAAGGCGACGAUCCGUAACUGGUCUGAGAGGAUGAUCAGUCACACUGGAACUGGAACACGGUCCAGACUCCUACGGGAGGCAGCAGUGGGGAAUGUUAGACAAUGGGCGAGAGCCUGAUCCAGCCAUGCCGCGUGUGUGAAGAAGGUCUUCGGAGUGUAAAGCACUUUAAGUUGGGAGGAAGGGCAGUAAGUUAAGACCUUGCUGUUUUGACGUUACCAACAGAAUAAGCACCGGCUAACUUCGUG
rnacentral:rRNA from 1 species